GGGGUUGACCGGUAUUGACGGUAAGUGUGAAUUGUGUAUCAGCAUGUCGGGUGGAGCAUAUACAUCCGCAAGUAAUUUAUGCGAACUAUAAUUGGCGAAAAUACUUACGCCAUGGCUGCCUAAUCUCAGUUUAACAACAGAGAUAAGGGCUUAAUGGGUUGAGCCCGCUAAAGCGGGCUCCCCGGCCACAUCCCUCAGCGCUUCGUUUUUCCGGGGCUGAUCAAGGGGUGUCGACUAGGAGAAACUAGCAGCUAUGAUGCUAUUAAGUGGUUGCGAAACUCAAAUAGAUAAGCUCUGCAGCAGGAUUGUUACCUUCCAUAGCAGAGACGAAAAUUCAAUUGGUAACUAAGCAUGUAGAGGAUGCAUUGUUUCCUUAUCCGGACGAGGGUUCGAAUCCCUCCAACUCCAC
rnacentral:tmRNA from 1 species